rnacentral:lncRNA from 1 species
AUUUACUUCAAGGCUAUUUUAACAGGGGUAUUUUGGUCACUUACCACUUGCCUAUAUAAAUAUACCCAGAUGAAUUCGAAUUCAGCCAUUUUGCUCAUUAUUAUUUCACAAAAAAAACUAGGGUUUCUCUCUAAAUUUAAUCGCCAAGAACAAGAUCCAAUCUUCUUCAAAAAUCAAAGGAUUUCAAAUCCUUCAAGUUCAAAAACAUCAAGAACCUUGAGUCAGGUAUGCAUAAUGUUCAUCUAUGGGUCUAUUUCGUUCAUAGAGCUCAAGAACCAUGUUUUAAAUAUUAUUUUGUGAUUGUCUUGUUGUGAUAUGAGCAUGUACAUGUUGAUGAUUGUUGUUUAAGUUUCAAGAUGAUAUCUAAAGGUGAUUUCAUGAAGUAUAUGUGUUUGUUAGUUGAAACCCAUGAUCCUUAUGUGGCUUAAUAUGGUAAAAUUCAUGAAUACACUUAAGCUAAAAGAAUGCAUGCAAAGUGUUUGAUAAUAUGCCUAGAUAAUAGAAUUCAUGUCCCUUGAUUUAAUAGUGCUUAAAUGACAAGUCCAUGCUUUAUGCUUUACGAUUUCCCAUGAAUUCCAUGUGAGUGAUAUGCGUUGUUGUUGUGAUAUGGAUUGAACAUGAUAUUAAAGCUAUGCAAGUAUAUACAUGUUUUAUGAAUUUUACUUCCAUGUGUAAGAUGUUUAGAACUAUGAUUAGUAUGAAAUCCCCUACUUAUGAUAUGGUAAAUUAUGGACUCUACUCUUACGAUCAAGUCAGUCAUGUGUGUCAGUUUCCUUCUAUUGAGUCCUGGGGUUACUUGUACCCGAAAGAUAUAGCUAUAUGCCUAGAUCCAUGUCAUUUUAUCAUGAUAAUCUCAGUAAGCCAUGAUCUAUAGAACUCAGUCGAUCAUGUAACUCAGGAAACCUCAGAAAUCUCAUGAUUUCAGUUAAUUCUCAAAUAGUAGCACUAAUCCAUCAGUCAACAGAAGUCAGUUACUCAGUCCAUGUACCAUCAGUUAAAUCACGUUCAGUCUCUUUAGAUGGGAGUAGAAGUUAGCAUCAAGUGAACCCAAGGAUGGGAACUCACCUGCCAGUUUAGGGUAUGAUUCUUAGUAAUCAUCCUUAUGUUCCAAAACUACGUAGCCAACGUAGGUUGAGACAUCUUAACCUGUUAGAUUAGGGUUGAUGAGGUGGCUUAAUCCGUUAGUUUAGGGUUCCUACCAUUCUCAUUUUGAGUACCUGUCAGCUAAGGGUCACUCACAGCUGUCCUUACCAGUGGUGCGGUAUUGACACCCUUCUAGUCGGGGUAGAGAUUGGACCCCAACUUAGCUAUGUGCGUUAUUAGGGCAUGUCGGUCAAACAACUACCUCCCACAGUUUUAGUCUAAGUCGCAGUAAAAGAACUCAGAUAGUUCUUUAGAUUUUAGUAUAUCAGGACUGUCAGAUACCAUCAAUUUAAUUACAGAAUGGAACAUAGAUAGUUCCAUUAGAUUUAGGACUGUCAUACACAGUCAUCUAUGUUGUUAGUUCCAUUAGAUUCAGGACUGUCAUACACAGUCAUCUAUGUUAUCAAAAUUUUAGUAUUUUUCAUGCUAGAUAUCAAUAGAUCAUGUAUUAGUGUAUAGAUCUAGAUAUCACGUAAUCAUGAUCUUAGUUACUACGUAUGCAUGUUUGCACUCUUACGUUCAUAUCAAUCAGUCAGUUAGCAUCGUUCAUGCAUGUAAACCCUUUUGCAUGUAGCCUACCUCACUCGUAUACUAAGUAAUCUCAGUUGUACUGACGUAUUUGUGCUAUGUGCUUUCUUUUACGUUACAACAUAGGUUCACAGAUACGAGCUCCAGAUCAGCAGUAGCAGUAGCAUUCCAGUCGCAGAGUUGCAGUGAGUCUUCAUCCAUUCUAGGAUAAUAUUAUUUACUUCAUUUGUUAAUUUAGUUUAGUUUUGCUAGACGGAGUUAGUUGGAGACACGUUUCUUCAACUCUUUAUUCAGACAGUAUUAGAGGCUUUCAGAUUUAGCUGAGAUUUGAUUCAGAUUUCAGUUGUUUUAGGUAUUCGUUACCCCAUAUGGAUGUUAUGAUUUGUCAAAUAUUCUAUGCAUUUGAACCUUAUGGCCU